UUCAACUCUCUCUAUUAUCCCCACUUUCUCUUCUUAUUUCUCAUCUAUUACAUCCAAUGCCGACUUCUAUUUUCUGAGAUCUUGCCUUCUUGCGUUUUCUAUUCUUUUCUACCACAUUCAUAAGUUUCUUAGUAGCUCUGAUAUUUUGAUUGCAAAAGUAUUUUGUGUAUAUCUUCUUACAUGUCUUAUUUGAAUUCAUGGUUUCAUGUUCCGGGAUCUCUUCUUCUCUUCUUUAAUUUAAAGGAUGAUGCUAAUGGUCACAAGAUGGGGAUGAAGAUUAAAUCAACCAAAAGAAAUAGCAUUGCCAUGUGACAACCCAGAUGCAUAGCUUAUGGUGCUUCACAGAAAUUUGGGACCUGUUGUUUCACAGCUAGCUUCCGCCGCAACGCGCGGGCAGGUUACUAGUUAGAUACAAUCCUAAAAGGUAAAGUUAUUAAUGGUAUUUUCUUUUAAAGUUAGUAGAAAUAUGCCCGCACAAUAUGACGAUGGUGAGGUAGUGAUGGCGGCGGAGGUGGUGGUGGUGACGAUGGUGG